rnacentral:rRNA from 1 species
UACGAGGGGGGCGAGCGUUGUUCGGAAUUAUUGGGCGUAAAGGGUGCGUAGGCGGUUUGGUAAGUCUUGUGUGAAAUCUACAGGCUCAACUUGUAGUCUGCACGAGAAACUGCCGGGCUUGAGUGUGGGAGAGGUGAGUGGAAUUCAUGGUGUAGCAGUGAAAUGCGUAGAUAUCAUGAGGAAUACCAGAGGCGAAGGCGGCUACCUGGACAAUUGCUGACGCUCAGGCACGAAAGCGUGGGGAGCAAAAGGG